rnacentral:rRNA from 1 species
AACGAACGCUGGCGGCAUGCCUAACACAUGCAAGUCGAACGAGACCUUCGGGUCUAGUGGCGCACGGGUGCGUAACGCGUGGGAAUCUGCCCUUGGGUUCGGAAUAACUCGCCGAAAGGCGUGCUAAUACCGGAUGAUGACGUAAGUCCAAAGAUUUAUCGCCCAAGGAUGAGCCCGCGUUGGAUUAGUUAGUUGGUGAGGUAAAGGCUCACCAAGGCGACGAUCCAUAGCUGGUCUGAGAGGAUGAUCAGCCACACUGGGACUGAGACACGGCCCAGACUCCUACGGGAGGCAGCAGUGGGGAAUAUUGGACAAUGGGCGAAAGCCUGAUCCAGCAAUGCCGCGUGAGUGAUGAAGGCCUUAGGGUUGUAAAGCUCUUUUACCCGGGAUGAUAAUGACCGUACCGGGAGAAUAAGCGCCGGCUAACUCCGUG